rfam:Salmo salar isolate Sally breed double haploid chromosome ssa25, whole genome shotgun sequence.
AUUGCACCAAUUUGUAAGUCGCUCUGGAUAAGAGCGUCUGCUAAAUGACGUAAA